GGGCGCAUAGCUCAGACGGUAGAGCAGCUGACUCUUAAUCAGCGGGUCGCAGGUUCGAGUCCUGCUGCGCCCACCA
rnacentral:tRNA from 1 species